UACGAAGGGGGCUAGCGUUGUUCGGAAUUACUGGGCGUAAAGCGCACGUAGGCGGGGUUGUAAGUAGAGGGUGAAAUCCCAGGGCUCAACCCUGGAACUGCCUUCUAGACUGCAAGCCUGGAGGUCAGGAGAGGCGAGUGGAAUACCGAGUGUAGAGGUGAAAUUCGUAGAUAUUCGGUGGAACACCAGUGGCGAAGGCGACUCGCUGGACUGAUACUGACGCUGAGGUGCGAAAGCGUGGGGAGCAAACAGG
rnacentral:rRNA from 1 species